GAUUAAGUUAUUAAGGGCGCACGGUGGAUGCCUUGGCACUAGAAGCCGAUGAAGGACGUUACUAACGACGAUAUGCUUUGGGGAGCUGUAAGUAAGCUUUGAUCCAGAGAUUUCCGAAUGGGGAAACCCAGCAUGAGUUAUGUCAUGUUAUCGAUAUGUGAAUACAUAGCAUAUCAGAAGGCACACCCGGAGAACUGAAACAUCUUAGUACCCGGAGGAAGAGAAAGAAAAUUCGAUUCCCUUAGUAGCGGCGAGCGAAACGGGAAGAGCCCAAACCAACAAGCUUGCUUGUUGGGGUUGUAGGACACUCUAUACCUGUCUCUUAUACACAUCU
rnacentral:rRNA from 1 species